GACGAACGCUGGCGGCGCGCCUAACACAUGCAAGUCGAACGAGCGAGAGAGAGCUUGCUUUCUUGAGCGAGUGGCGAACGGGUGAGUAACGCGUGAGGAACCUGCCUCAAAGAGGGGGACAACAGUUGGAAACGACUGCUAAUACCGCAUAAGCCCACGGUGCCGCAUGGCACAGAGGGAAAAGGAGCAAUCCGCUUUGAGAUGGCCUCGCGUCCGAUUAGCUAGUUGGUGAGGUAACGGCCCACCAGGGCGACGAUCGGUAGCCGGACUGAGAGGUUGAACCGCCACAUUGGGACUGAGACACGGCCCAGACUCCUACGGGAGGCAGCAGUGGGGAAUAUUGCACAAUGGGGGAAACCCUGAUGCAGCGACGCCGCGUGGAGGAAGAAGGUCUUCGGAUUGUAAACUCCUGUUGUUGGGGAAGAUAAUGACGGUACCCAACAAGGAAGUGACGGCUAACUACGUG
rnacentral:rRNA from 1 species